GAUGAACGCUGGCGGCGUGCCUAAUACAUGCAAGUCGAGCGAAUGGAUUAAGAGCUUGCUCUUAUGAAGUUAGCGGCGGACGGGUGAGUAACACGUGGGUAACCUGCCCAUAAGACUGGGAUAACUCCGGGAAACCGGGGCUAAUACCGGAUAACAUUUUGAACCGCAUGGUUCGAAAUUGAAAGGCGGCUUCGGCUGUCACUUAUGGAUGGACCCGCGUCGCAUUAGCUAGUUGGUGAGGUAACGGCUCACCAAGGCAACGAUGCGUAGCCGACCUGAGAGGGUGAUCGGCCAAACUGGGACUGAGACGCGGCCCAGACUCCUACGGGAGGCAGCAGUAGGGAAUCUUCCGCAAUGGACGAAAGUCUGACGGAGCAACGCCGCGUGAGUGAUGAAGGCUUUCGGGUCGUAAAACUCUGUUGUUAGGGAAGAACAAGUGCUAGUUGAAUAAGCUGGCACCUUGACGGUACCUAACCAGAAAGCCACGGCUAACUACGUGCCAGCAGCCGCCGCGG
rnacentral:rRNA from 1 species